rnacentral:rRNA from 1 species
UGGGGAAUAUUGCACAAUGGGCGCAAGCCUGAUGCAGCCAUGCCGCGUGUGUGAAGAAGGCCUUCGGGUUGUAAAGCACUUUCAGCGGGGAGGAAGGCGAUAAGGUUAAUAACCUCAUCGAUUGACGUUACCCGCAGAAGAAGCACCGGCUAACUCCGUGCCAGCAGCCGCGGUAAUACGGAGGGUGCAAGCGUUAAUCGGAAUUACUGGGCGUAAAGCGCACGCAGGCGGUUUGUUAAGUCAGAUGUGAAAUCCCCGGGCUCAACCUGGGAACUGCAUCUGAUACUGGCAAGCUUGAGUCUCGUAGAGGGGGGUAGAAUUCCAGGUGUAGCGGUGAAAUGCGAAGAGAUCUGGAGGAAUACCGGUGGCGAAGGCGGCCCCCUGGACGAAGACUGACGCUCAGGUGCGAAAGCGUGGGGAGCAAACAGG